AUGGAAGUUGGGCAGCAGGGCCAGCAGCGGCUCCCACCAAGGAGCUGAAUCUCUGGGACGUCCUGUGUUUGCUUAACUUGCACCGCAGCAAAUCAUGCUGCGCUGCUCCCCUCCCUUGCGUAUGCGUACCUUGUAUGUUUGUUUCCUCGGCAGCAUCUGCUGCCGGUGGAGGCCCCCAUUCAACCCUUUCUGUAAUAGUACUAUUCUUCUAGAAAAAACCUUAAUUAUUA
rnacentral:misc_RNA from 1 species